rfam:Chloroflexi bacterium RBG_13_52_12 RBG_13_scaffold_30652, whole genome shotgun sequence.
UACCAUCGACCGUUAUGGCGGUGAGUUAGAGCUUAUACCUUAACAAAACAGAAUAAGUCGCUUGGAUCGGAAACGACCGAGACGGCAAC